GGUCAAGUGAAGAAGCGCAUACGGUGGAUGCCUUGGCAGUCAGAGGCGAUGAAAGACGUGGUAGCCUGCGAUAAGCUUCGGGGAGUCGGCAAACAGACUUUGAUCCGGAGAUCUCUGAAUGGGGGAACCCACUCAGCAUAAGCUGAGUAUCUUGUACUGAAUACAUAGGUGCAAGAGGCGAACCAGGGGAACUGAAACAUCUAAGUACCCUGAGGAAAAGAAAUCAACCGAGAUUCCCUUAGUAGUGGCGAGCGAACGGGGACUAGCCCUUAAGUGGCUUUGAGAUUAGCGGAACGCUCUGGAAAGUGCGGCCAUAGUGGGUGAUAGCCCUGUACGCGAAAAUCUCUUAGUCAUGAAAUCGAGUAGGACGGAGCACGAGAAACUUUGUCUGAAUAUGGGGGGACCAUCCUCCAAGGCUAAAUACUACUGACUGACCGAUAGUGAACCAGUACCGUGAGGGAAAGGCGAAAAGAACCCCGGAGAGGGGAGUGAAAUAGAACCUGAAACCGUAUGCGUACAAGCAGUGGGAGCCUACUUGUUAGGUGACUGCGUACCUUUUGUAUAAUGGGUCAGCGACUUAUAUUCAGUGGCGAGCUUAACCGAAUAGGGGAGGCGUAGCGAAAGCGAGUCUUAAUAGGGCGCUUAGUCGCUGGGUAUAGACCCGAAACCGGGCGAUCUAUCCAUGGGCAGGUUGAAGGUUAGGUAACACUGACUGGAGGACCGAACCGACUACCGUUGAAAAGUUAGCGGAUGACCUGUGGAUCGGAGUGAAAGGCUAAUCAAGCUCGGAGAUAGCUGGUUCUCCUCGAAAGCUAUUUAGGUAGCGCCUCAUGUAUCACUGUAGGGGGUAGAGCACUGUUUCGGCUAGGGGGUCAUCCCGACUUACCAAACCGAUGCAAACUCCGAAUACCUACAAGUGCCGAGCAUGGGAGACACACGGCGGGUGCUAACGUCCGUCGUGAAAAGGGAAACAACCCAGACCGUCAGCUAAGGUCCCAAAGUCAUGGUUAAGUGGGAAACGAUGUGGGAAGGCUUAGACAGCUAGGAGGUUGGCUUAGAAGCAGCCACCCUUUAAAGAAAGCGUAAUAGCUCACUAGUCGAGUCGGCCUGCGCGGAAGAUGUAACGGGGCUCAAACCAUGCACCGAAGCUACGGGUAUCACUUAGGUGAUGCGGUAGAGGAGCGUUCUGUAAGCCUGUGAAGGUGAGUUGAGAAGCUUGCUGGAGGUAUCAGAAGUGCGAAUGCUGACAUGAGUAACGACAAUGGGAGUGAAAAACUCCCACGCCGAAAGACCAAGGUUUCCUGCGCAACGUUAAUCGACGCAGGGUUAGUCGGUCCCUAAGGCGAGGCUGAAAAGCGUAGUCGAUGGAAAACAGGUUAAUAUUCCUGUACUUCUAGUUAUUGCGAUGGAGGGACGGAGAAGGCUAGGCCAGCUUGGCGUUGGUUGUCCAAGUUUAAGGUGGUAGGCUGAGAUCUUAGGUAAAUCCGGGAUCUUAAGGCCGAGAGCUGAUGACGAGUUGCCUUUAGGCGACGAAGUGGUUGAUGCCAUGCUUCCAAGAAAAGCUUCUAAGCUUCAGAUAACUAGGAACCGUACCCCAAACCGACACAGGUGGUUGGGUAGAGAAUACCAAGGCGCUUGAGAGAACUCGGGUGAAGGAACUAGGCAAAAUGGCACCGUAACUUCGGGAGAAGGUGCGCCGGUGAGGGUGAAGGACUUGCUCCGUAAGCUCAUGCCGGUCGAAGAUACCAGGCCGCUGCGACUGUUUAUUAAAAACACAGCACUCUGCAAACACGAAAGUGGACGUAUAGGGUGUGACGCCUGCCCGGUGCCGGAAGGUUAAUUGAUGGGGUUAGCUAACGCGAAGCUCUUGAUCGAAGCCCCGGUAAACGGCGGCCGUAACUAUAACGGUCCUAAGGUAGCGAAAUUCCUUGUCGGGUAAGUUCCGACCUGCACGAAUGGCGUAACGAUGGCGGCGCUGUCUCCACCCGAGACUCAGUGAAAUUGAAAUCGCUGUGAAGAUGCAGUGUAUCCGCGGCUAGACGGAAAGACCCCGUGAACCUUUACUAUAGCUUUGCACUGGACUUUGAAUUUGCUUGUGUAGGAUAGGUGGGAGGCUUUGAAGCGUGGACGCCAGUUCGCGUGGAGCCAUCCUUGAAAUACCACCCUGGCAACUUUGAGGUUCUAACUCAGGUCCGUUAUCCGGAUCGAGGACAGUGUAUGGUGGGUAGUUUGACUGGGGCGGUCUCCUCCUAAAGAGUAACGGAGGAGUACGAAGGUGCGCUCAGACCGGUCGGAAAUCGGUCGUAGAGUAUAAAGGCAAAAGCGCGCUUGACUGCGAGACAGACACGUCGAGCAGGUACGAAAGUAGGUCUUAGUGAUCCGGUGGUUCUGUAUGGAAGGGCCAUCGCUCAACGGAUAAAAGGUACUCCGGGGAUAACAGGCUGAUACCGCCCAAGAGUUCAUAUCGACGGCGGUGUUUGGCACCUCGAUGUCGGCUCAUCACAUCCUGGGGCUGAAGCCGGUCCCAAGGGUAUGGCUGUUCGCCAUUUAAAGUGGUACGCGAGCUGGGUUUAGAACGUCGUGAGACAGUUCGGUCCCUAUCUGCCGUGGACGUUUGAGAUUUGAGAGGGGCUGCUCCUAGUACGAGAGGACCGGAGUGGACGAACCUCUGGUGUUCCGGUUGUCACGCCAGUGGCAUUGCCGGGUAGCUAUGUUCGGAAGAGAUAACCGCUGAAAGCAUCUAAGCGGGAAACUUGCCUCAAGAUGAGAUCUCACUGGAGCCUUGAGCUCCCUGAAGGGCCGUCGAAGACUACGACGUUGAUAGGUUGGGUGUGUAAGCGCUGUGAGGCGUUGAGCUAACCAAUACUAAUUGCCCGUGAGGCUUGACCAU
rnacentral:rRNA from 1 species